UACGUAGGGGGCAAGCGUUGUCCGGAAUCAUUGGGCGUAAAGCGCGUGUAGGCGGCUCGGUAAGUCCGCUCUGAAAGCCCGGGGCUCAACCCCGGGAGGCGGGUGGAUACUGCUGAGCUCGAGUCCGGAAGAGGAGUGUGGAAUUCCUGGUGUAGCGGUGAAGUGCGCAGAUAUCAGGAGGAACACCAAUGGCGAAGGCAGCACUCUGGGACGGUACUGACGCUGAGACGCGAAAGCGUGGGGAGCAAACAGG
rnacentral:rRNA from 1 species